UGGCAAUUACACACCCUCCAUCAAAUACGUGUCCUUGUCUUUCUCUUUCUCUUUCUCUUUCUCAUCCCUGUGAUGUACUAAUAAUAAGCAUACAAAUACAGCAAUCAACAGAGCAAAAAUAAAUUGUUGUUGGUGUGCUAGCUCUCUGCCGGAAUGCGUGAUACUCUUGUGUUGACAAUGAAAAUCCUCCAAAACAAGGUAUUGUUUCCUUUAUGAUAUUAUGAAAUAUGGGAUUUGAAAUUUAACUUCUUCCUUUUUAAGUAACCAUCUUAUAUAAUUUGCUGCUAUUUUACGCAUCAACUCUACCAUCCUCACCGAUUCUACAUAAGCAUUGCUCAUUUGAUCCGCCAGACAUGGCAAAAAUUCAACUCAUUUUGUCUAACUUUUUUCAAGAAAAAGCUAAUAUAACUCCAUACAUAACACCAACACCCUAUCCAAAAAAAUUACAACAUUACAUUAAUGGCAAAUAGCUCAUUUUUGUUACACCUUUUGUUGUUUCUUGUUAUUACCUUGAGUGUCUUAACUUUUUUCAAGAAAAAGCUAAUAUAACUCCAUACAUAACACCAACACCUUAUCCAAAAAAAUUACAACAUUGUAUUAAUGGCAAAUAGCUCAUUUUUGUUACACAUUUUGUUGUUUCAUGUUAUUACUUUGAGUUUAGUUUAUGUGAUUUUAUCACGAUAUGAGUUGGAAGAACUUACAUGGUUAGAUGACAAAGAUGAUAAAAUAUCUAUGUUUCAUAGUCAACAUUUUGCUAUGAAUAAAUGUGAUUUUAGUUUAGGGUUGUAGCUGUUGUUACUUAUACCAAGACUGGUAGACCUGAUACUGAUUAUAAAAAGUGAAGAUAGAAACUCAUGGUUGUGAAAUUCCAAGGUAUUUUGUAAUAUGUUUUUCAGUUGCAUAGUUUAAGAAAUGUUUUUUUUUUCGCUGUUCUCUGUCUUGAAGCAAUGAUAAAAUUAUUUUCAUGUAAGCAUGGGCUGAGCACUUCAUGAUAUUUUGAGUCCUUAGUGAAAAUCAUGACUAAGCUAUUGCUUUUUACAUAUGUAUAUAUUCACUGGCUUGUAAACGUUUUGUUCCUAUUCUUUCAUUUUCAUAUAGAAAAUGGUUAUUAAAACACUUUAACACUUCGUAAUUUUAUGCAACAGAUUUCAGUUAUAUGAUUGCGCAUUUCAAAUCUCAAGCCAAGGAUAUAUCAUAUAUUGUUAUCUAUGUAAAUAAAAUGUACAUAACCCCUUGUAUAAUUUGGCUCCUUGACGUAUACGAUAAAGAAAAUAGUUUGUUGUAUGUAUUGAUGCAUUACAAUUAUUCUUUUCAUGCAGCAUGUUGGGUUCGUGCUAACACGGCCCCGCCCCCCAGUUUAAAAGAAGUAAAAACUCCUAAUAUUUAAUACACUACUAAAUCAAUUAAAAUACCAUCUUAUAUAAUUCUAUUUAACUGACUUUUUGUGAACGAAGGUUUUAACUUUCAAUAAUAUAAUAUGCAUUUAUUUUUUCUUCUUCAUUUUCUUUUUUAUUUGAUUUUGAUUCAACUUAUUUUUAAUAUUUAUCACACUUCUAAAUCAAUUAAAAUAUUGCUUUAUAUAAUUAAAUUUAACUAACUUUUUGUGAACAAAAAUUUAGCUCUCAUUAAUAUAAUAUGUAUUUAUUUUUUCUUCUUCCUUUGCUUUUUUAUUUGAUUUAGAUUCAACUUAUUUUUGUUCUUUGUGCACUCAAUGUGGUCUAUUUUUCUCUUUCUUUUAGUUUUUUUCCUUUCUUUUAGUUAAUAAUGAUAGGAUGAUUUUUUAUGUCAGUUGCUAUGAUUAUGUGAUUUGCAUAGGCUAAAAAUUAAUAAUUGAUUCUCAUAUUUUUUGAUUUGCAUAGGCUAAAAAUUAAUAAUUGAUUCUCAUAUUUUUUGAGUUUUUUCGCUUUCUGCUGAACCUUUUGUUGGAAAAAAGUGGAGAACUACGCAAUUAUGUUGCCAAGGAAUGAAGUGGAUCAGAUGAUGAUAAUCAAUUGUUAUAUGACUUAGAAGGUUGUGUUUCUAAUUAUAAUUCAUUGGAGUUGUAUGUGGCAUUCAAUUGAUGAUAUGUAUGUUCUUAUUUGGUUUGGACCUAAAGUUCUUACUUCUUCUUUUUCCAUGAAUUGCGGAUAUAAGAAGAAAAAUUAAUUUUUGGGAAAGAAGAGCAAAGAAAAGACUAUUAUUGUCAUGUCGAAAGAAUUCACACUUCCAAAUUGAUAAUUUUUAUUUCUGAGAA